AUUGAACGCUGGCGGAAUGCUUUACACAUGCAAGUCGAACGGUAGAGGGGGCAACCCCUUGAGAGUGGCGAACGGGUGAGUAAUAUAUCGGAACGUGCCCAGUCGUGGGGAUAACGUAGCGAAAGCUACGCUAAUACCGCAUACGAUCUACGGAUGAAAGCGGGGGAUCGCAAGACCUCGCGCGAUUGGAGCGGCCGAUAUCAGAUUAGGUAGUUGGUGAGGUAAAGGCUCACCAAGCCGACGAUCUGUAGCUGGUCUGAGAGGACGACCAGCCACACUGGGACUGAGACACGGCCCAGACUCCUACGGGAGGCAGCAGUGGGGAAUUUUGGACAAUGGGCGCAAGCCUGAUCCAGCAAUGCCGCGUGCAGGAUGAAGGCCUUCGGUU
rnacentral:rRNA from 1 species